rnacentral:rRNA from 1 species
GGGGAAUAUUGCACAAUGGGCGAAAGCCUGAUGCAGCGACGCCGCGUGGGGGAUGAAGGCUUUCGGGUUGUAAACCUCUUUUAUUCCUGAACAAGGCUUGGAUUGUUGUCUGGGUUGAGGGUAGGGGGUGAAUAAGCGCCGGCUAACUACGUGCCAGCAGCCGCGGUAAUACGUAGGGCGCGAGCGUUGUCCGGAUUUAUUGGGCGUAAAGAGCUCGUAGGCGGUUUGUUGCGUCUGCUGUGAAAACGCGGGGCUUAACUUCGCGCGUGCAGUGGGUACGGGCUGACUAGAGUGCGGUAGGGGUGACUGGAAUUCCUGGUGUAGCGGUGGAAUGCGCAGAUAUCAGGAGGAACACCGAUGGCGAAGGCAGGUCACUGGGCCGCAACUGACGCUGAGGAGCGAAAGCAUGGGGAGCGAACA